rnacentral:rRNA from 1 species
GAUGAACGCUGGCGGCGUGCUUAACACAUGCAAGUCGAACGGUGAACACGGAGCUUGCUCUGUGGGAUCAGUGGCGAACGGGUGAGUAACACGUGAGCAACCUGCCCCUGACUCUGGGAUAAGCGCUGGAAACGGCGUCUAAUACUGGAUAUGUGACGUGACCGCAUGGUCUGCGUUUGGAAAGAUUUUUCGGUUGGGGAUGGGCUCGCGGCCUAUCAGCUUGUUGGUGAGGUAAUGGCUCACCAAGGCGUCGACGGGUAGCCGGCCUGAGAGGGCGACCGGCCACACUGGGACUGAGACACGGCCCAGACUCCUACGGGAGGCAGCAGUGGGGAAUAUUGCACAAUGGGCGCAAGCCUGAUGCAGCAACGCCGCGUGAGGGAUGACGGCCUUCGGGUUGUAAACCUCUUUUAGCAGGGAAGAAGCGAAAGUGACGGUACCUGCAGAAAAAGCGCCGGCUAACUACGUG